UCCGUAACUUCGGGAGAAGGAGUAGCUUUUAUCAGGGCAACCUGAUAAAGCUGUCACAUAAUCGGGGAUAGCGACUGGUUAUUAAAACCACAGGUCUCUGCAAAAUUGUAAAAAGAUGUAUAGAGACUGACGCCUGCCCAGUGCUGCAAGAGUAAAAGUUGAAGUCUAAGGGCUUUGGCUAUAAUCCCCAGUAAACGGCGGCUGUAACUCUGACGGUCCUAAGGUAGCGAAAUUCC
rnacentral:rRNA from 16 species